UGGAUUAAAAAAGAAUAUAUAUAUAUACCAUCAAAUCAAAAACUCAAAAAAGAUACUCAAAGUUAGAAUCUUGUCUUCAUUCUCGUCGCCAUUGUUGCUCUAAACUAAAAGCUUAGCUUUCUUGUUCAUACAGUACUAUAUUCCAAAUGAAGCUCCCUCCAAUGGCGGUUCUUCUUCUUUUCCUUAUGAUCAUGCUUCAAGCUCAAGGGAUUCGGUUGUUGGAGAAAGGGAUGAGCAAAGAGUACAAGAAAAGUGGAGGUUUUUUGGUAAAUAAAAAUGGUGGAGAUUCAUUGAUGACAAUGAAGAAGAGAGCCCCAAUUAGGGCUUUAAGAAAACCAUAUUCACAUUGGCUUCCAGGCAUUCAAGAAGAUUAUCAUGGACCAAGAAGCCAUAAAUCUAGGCACCAUUGACUCUCUCUUUUUUUUUUUUUUUUUUUUUUUUUUUUUUUUUAUGAGAUUAAUUAUUAUUAUUUGAGGCGUACAUAUAGAAUCCAAACGUUGGAUCGUCAUUAUAUUCUUUAGUAAAAUUAGUUAACAAAGAUGGAGCAGAUUGAAGAAAUCAUUCGAAGAGCUAGAAACGCAAUGUGGUUGUCAACUUUUUAUAUGUACGAUAGAGAAAUUAACCAUGUUUGUAGUAGCUACGUUGUGUAGUUUUAGCUUUUAACUAGAUCAGUUGAGACUGAUUAUAAAUUUUGAGAAUAAAAUUCUUUAUUAAAUAAGAUUCAAGAAAAUGUUGAAUCUUCAUUUAUUUA